AGGAGGAACAACCGCGGUGGUGGGGCCAGCUCUGGAGUCCUGGAGUCAGCUCCUACAGUAAAUCCAGAGCUCUUGGUCUGCAGGGCCUGGAGGCUCUGGGGCGGG
rnacentral:pre_miRNA from 1 species